CAGUAGCCACGGGAAUACGUAGGGCGCAAGCGUUGUCCGGAAUUAUUGGGCGUAAAGAGCUCGUAGGCGGUCUGUCGCGUCUGGUGUGAAAUCCCGAGGCUCAACCUCGGGCUUGCAUCGGGUACGGGCAGACUAGAGUGCGGUAGGGGAGACUGGAAUUCCUGGUGUAGCGGUGGAAUGCGCAGAUAUCAGGAGGAACACCGAUGGCGAAGGCAGGUCUCUGGGCCGCAACUGACGCUGAGGAGCGAAAGCAUGGGGAGCGAACAGGAUUAGAUACCCCCGUAGUCCCUGUCUCUUAUAC
rnacentral:rRNA from 1 species